rnacentral:tRNA from 45 species
UGACCCGUACGGGAUUCGAACCCGUGUUACCGCCGUGAAAGGGCGGUGUCUUAACCACUUGACCAACGGGCC